UACGAAGGGGACUAGCGUUGUUCGGAAUCACUGGGCGUAAAGCGCACGUAGGCGGAUUCGUAAGUCAGGGGUGAAAUCCCGGGGCUCAACCUCGGAGCUGCCUUUGAUACUGCGGGUCUUGAGUCCGAUAGAGGUGGGUGGAAUUCCUAGUGUAGAGGUGAAAUUCGUAGAUAUUAGGAAGAACACCGGUGGCGAAGGCGGCCCACUGGAUCGGUACUGACGCUGAGGUGCGAAAGCGUGGGGAGCAAACAGG
rnacentral:rRNA from 1 species